rnacentral:rRNA from 1 species
AUAGAAGACCAUACCGCCUUUGCUCUGCCCAAUCCCGUCAGAUCUUGGAAGCUAAGCAGGGAAGGGCCUGGUCGGCACUUGGAUGGGAGACCGUUUGGGAACACCAGGAAGUCUUGUGUC